rnacentral:rRNA from 1 species
UACAGAGGGUGCGAGCGUUGUCCGGAAUCACUGGGCGUAAAGGGCGCGUAGGUGGCCUGAUAAGUAGGGGGUGAAAUCUCGAAGGCUCAACUUUCGAGGCUGCCUUCUAAACUGGUCGGGCUUGAGCAGAGUAGAGGCAGGUGGAAUUCCCGGUGUAGCGGAUGGAAUGCGUAGAGAUCGGGAAGAACACCAAGUGGCAAAGCAGCUUUCUGGGACGGUACUGAGCUGGAGAACGCGAAAGCGUGGGGAGCGAACAGG